rnacentral:snRNA from 1 species
AUGGAUCCUUGGCCUUUUGAUUAUAGUCAAGUGUAGUAUCUGUUCUUCUCAGCUUAAUAUCUGAUAUGUCUUCUAUCUAAGGACAAUAUAUUAAGUGGAUUUUUGAGAUACAUUAAUUGGUUUAAAUUAUACUGCUAGUUUAUCUUAG